rnacentral:rRNA from 1 species
UACGGAGGGAGCUAGCGUUAUUCGGAAUUACUGGGCGUAAAGCGCACGUAGGCGGCUUUGUAAGUUAGAGGUGAAAGCCUGGAGCUCAACUCCAGAAUUGCCUUUAAGACUGCAUCGCUUGAAUCCAGGAGAGGUGAGUGGAAUUCCGAGUGUAGAGGUGAAAUUCGUAGAUAUUCGGAAGAACACCAGUGGCGAAGGCGGCUCACUGGACUGGUAUUGACGCUGAGGUGGCGAAAGCGUGGGGAGCAAAC